rnacentral:miRNA from 1 species
CGACUAUCCGGUGUGAGUAGCG